ACGUGCAAAACACGGUGUCCGCACCGGUUUUGUCGCACACUGCCACUGUUGUUUGCCUUCGGAAAUACCCUGCAUUAAAUAGCUAAGUUCACAUCGAUUAAACACAAGUAAUGGCACGCUUUCAGCUGUUCCACAUAACAACGGGAAAAGCUCUGAGUGAGGUGAUUAUCUCUGCCAUGUUUGCUUCCAGUAUACAUUAUCAGCUUAGCCCAUCAUAAUUCUAACAACCUAGGCAUUUACAGGCCCAAUACAGCGGUUCUUUUGUGAUAUUACACGAGAAAGGCCAGGGCAUAAAAACCAAGGGGCACUUCUUGACAGGUUUCUGUCCGUCGCGGGCGCGAGACGGACUGAACCAUGGCGUUUUGGCCUUGUGGAAAAAUUAACGCUUCCACCCCGCUGGACUAUACCAUACUGCCUAUCAAUGAGACCCUGGGAUAUAUAGUGCAAUUUUUAGCUCCACAGCUGAAUCAGGAAAAGAGCCUUCGUGCGAAGGACGUGGCGCUGCCGAUAUUCUGGGGUUUGAUCGUCCUCCUCGGCGUGGUGGGAAAUCUCUUGGUCAUCAUCGUCAUCCUAAAGGGCCGUCAGCUUCGCAGUACAACAAACGCCUUCAUCUUAAACCUCAGUAUCUCGGACUUUCUCUUCAUCGUCUGCACCGUUCCGUUCACUCUCGUCAUACAGUUAGACCAGACCUGGAUAUUCGGGGACGUGUGGUGCAAGGUGAUGCACUACAGUACGUACGUCAGCUGUCUGCUCAGUAUCUACACCAUGGUCGUCAUGUCCAUAGACAGGUACCUGGCCAUAGUCUACCCGCUGUCGUCAGUGCGUUACCGACGCGUCAGGUACGCGGGGAUGGUGGUGGGAGCGAUGUGGCCCAUCAUGCUCGUCUCUAUGAUCCCGGUACUGCUCAGUGCCAAAGUUGAGGGAACAGACGCUUGCGAUCUGUGGUACUUCGUCAUCCCGGCCAGUAAGAACUGCCUGCUCUUCAACUCCGACGAGUUCGUCAUCGUGUUCUUCGCGGUGGCCUACGCCCUGCCGCUGUUCGCCAUCGUCGUGAUGUACGCCCUGAUGCUGAAGCGGGUGUGGACGCGCGUCGGGCUCGGCGUCAUGAACGACACCAGCCGCAACAAGUCCAAGAGGAAGGUCACCAGGAUGAUCGUGGUCAUAGUGGCGGUGUUCGGGCUGUGCUGGCUGCCACUUCAGGUGUAUCUGUUGGCGCAGAUGGUUGACAGAACCGUAGGUGCCCAGGAGUGGCAGCGGUACAUCCUGUACACGGCUAACGCGCUAGCAUACUCCAACUCCAGCGUCAACCCGCUCAUCUAUGCCUUCUUCUCCGUACAGUUCCGCAGGUCCUUCAUGCAGGUGUUCCCCUGUUGUUUCCGAAGCCGAACGAACAAAGUUACCCCCCGACCUUUAGCGAGAGUUCCCGAGCGACACUCGGGUGCCGAAAACCCCGACAACAGUGGGACACACGUCACAGACCUAGACACAGAAGUUUGAAUGAACACUGAUAUAACAUAUGCACAUUUCAUACUUCUGAAGCGCACGCGAAGAAACAUUUUGUGAACCGUGACUGUGGUUGAUUGCGCUAAAACGCUCUAGACGCUAGCACCUGCACAGCAUAGUCUUGUGUGUUCUCGUGUUGCUCGGGCAAACCCACCUUUCAACAUAACGUCAUCGACUUCGGUGAAGGUACGGUGGCCGGAGGGGCCACAAGACACAGUGUGCUGAAAAGAGGGUCUUCGUUGGACACACCGGUGUGAG